rnacentral:rRNA from 1 species
UACGUAGGUGUCGAGCGUUGUCCGGAUUUAUUGGGCGUAAAGGGUGCGCAGGUGGCCAAGUGUGUGAGGCGUGAAAGCCUGGGGCUUAACUCCAGAAUUGCACCUCAAACUACAUGGCUAGAGCAUUGGAGAGGGGAGCAGAAUUCACGGUGUAGCAGUGAAAUGCGUAGAUAUCGUGAGGAAUACCAGAGGCGAAGGCGGCUCCCUGGACAAUUGCUGACACUCAGGCACGAAAGCGUGGGGAGCAAAAGGG